AUAAAAUAAAUAAUGUUUUUAAAAAGGCUAACACAGAAGAGUAAGUCUCCUAAAACCCGGAGAUGAGACUCUCAAGGUCGGUUUUGGUCCCUGAGCGGAGUCACAGCU
rfam:Tupaia chinensis contig240574, whole genome shotgun sequence.